rnacentral:misc_RNA from 1 species
GACCGCACAGUGGCACAGUCCGCACUUGCGGGCUUGCUUGCGGGUGGUUGUUUGCGGAGGGGGUGACAUCCACAACAGUGCAGCAAAUCUCUUCGGUCAUUUUUUAUUUAAUUAUUAAUUGUCCCUUCUUGUUUCAGACUGAAUUUGUCAUUGACCGAACGUUUAAGGAAGCAACUGAGGAGACCUGACUGAGGAUUAUCGGCCAAGGUCCUUGUAUCGACUCGUUGAGCGUGAUUCAGCUGGUGUUUACGCAUGCUUUGAAGCAGCUGAGCGAUGGACUUUAGCGUCAAGUCUUUCAAAGGCCUUGCGGCAGAAGCCGCAACCGUGUUCACCAGAGCCGUUCAGUACACUGAGGAACGACUGGGAACAUCUGACAAAACUGAACUUGACGCACACUUUGAGACGUUGGCUCAACGUUCUGACAGAACCAAGUAUUGGACUGAAAGGCUGGUUGGUAAAACAGAAGCAGUCCUUCAACCCAAUCCAAAUGUGCGGGUAGAAGAUUACCUCUUUGAAAAACUUGACAAGAAACGAGACAGGUUAAAUAAUACAGAGCUACUGGGCCAAGACAUGAUAGAUGCUGGAACUGACUUUGGUCCUGGCACCUCUUAUGGGAGUGCCCUCAUCAAGGUUGGGCAGGCUCAACAAAAGCUGGGCCAAGCAGAGCGAGAGUUUGGCCGCCUGGUGCACACCAACUUUGUCCAGCCGCUAAGGAGGUUUCUGGAUGGAGACAUGAAAACAAUCUUGAAAGAGCGUCGGCUGCUUGAAAACAAGCGAUUGGAUCUAGAUGCUGCAAAGAACAGACUUCGUAAGGCCAAAGCGACUGAUCCAGCAGCCUCCAAAGUCAAUCCUGAAGUUCUUGAGAAAGAAAUUCAACAGGCAGAAAAGGAUGUGCGUUCCUGCCAGUCUGACUUCGACCGUCAAGCUGAGAUUACUAGGCUGCUGCUUGAAGGAAUCUCAAGCACUCACGUGAACCAUUUGCGCUGCCUUAGUGACUUUGUAGAAGCCCAAAUGUCAUACUAUGCUCAGUGUCAGCAGUACAUGGCUGACCUGCAGAAAGAACUGGCCAACAUGUCCAUUGCCGUUGGAACGGGCAGCAGUGGUGACGGCAGUCGCAGUGGCUUCCAGGGUGCUUUUUCGUCACCUACAGCUAGUGCAGUCAAUCAUUACUGUGGAUGACACCGGCGCGAUAGUUGCGGAUGGCAGCGCAGAACUUAACGCAAUGGCUGGUGAUCAUCAUAUCCCAGACUGACAACAUGGACCCCGACUGGAUGAUUGGGGAGCGAGGCCUACAAAAGGGAAAGGUCCCAAUUGCAUACCUGGAAAUUCUCAACUGAUUAGAUAAACAUUCUUUUUUCUGUAA